rnacentral:rRNA from 1 species
UACGUGAGGGUGCGAGCGUUGCCCGGAUUUAUUGGGCGUAAAGGGCGCGUAGGCGGCUCUGCACGUCCGUUGUGAAAUCGCCCGGCUCAACGUGGCGGGGUCAGCGGAUACGGCGGAGCUUGAGCAAGCUAGGGGGCAAUGGAAUUCCCGGUGUAGUGGUGGAAUGCGUAGAUAUCGGGAGGAACACCAGUGGCGAAGGCGGUUGCCUGGGGCUUUCGUGUGACGCUGAUGCGCGAAAGCGUGGGGAGCGAUCCGG